rnacentral:rRNA from 1 species
UUCCGGUUGAUCCUGCCGGACCCGACUGCUAUCAGAGUGGGACUAAGCCAUGCGAGUUAACGUAGCAAUACGUGGCAUACGGCUCAGUAACACGUAGUCAACAUGCCCAGAGGACGUGGACAACCUCGGGAAACUGAGGAUAAACCGCGAUAGGUCAGGAUUUCUGGAAUGAUUCUUGGCUGAAAUCUACAUGGCCUCUGGAUUGGACUGCGGCCGAUCAGGCUGUUGGUGAGGUAAUGGCCCACCAAACCUGUUACCGGUACGGGCUCUGAGAGGAGGAGCCCGGAGAUGGGCACUGAGACAAGGGCCCAGGCCCUAUGGGGCGCAGCAGGCGCGAAACCUCUGCAAUAGACGAAAGCCUGACAGGGUUACUCUGAGUGACUUUCGCUAAGAAAGUCUUUAGGCACCUCUAAAAAGGGUGCAGAAUAAGGGGUGGGCAAGUCAGGUGUCAGCCGCCGCGGUAAUACCAGCACCCCGAGUGGUCGGGACGAUUAUUGGGCCUAAAGCAUCCGUGGCCGGUUCUGCAAGUCCCCCGUUAAAUCCAGCCGCUCAACGGAUGGGCCGCGGAGGAUACUACAGGACUAGGAGGCGGGAGAGGCAAGCGGUACUCAGUGGGUAGGGGUAAAAUCCUUUGAUCCAUUGAAGACCACCAGUGGCGAAGGCGGCUUGCCAGAACGCGCUCGACGGUGAGGGAUGAAAGCUGGGGGAGCAAACCGGAUUAGAUACCCGGGUAGUCCCAG